UACGUAGGGUGCAAGCGUUAAUCGGAAUUACUGGGCGUAAAGCGUGCGCAGGCGGUUUUGUAAGUCUGUCGUGAAAUCCCCCGGGCUCAACCUGGGAAUUGCGAUGGAGACUGCAAGGCUAGAAUCUGGCAGAGGGGGGGUAGAAUUCCACGUGUAGCAGGUGAAAAUGCGUAGAGAUGUGGAGGAACACCGAUGGCGAAAGGGCAGCCCCCCUGGGUCAAGAUUGACGCUCAUGCAUGAAAGCGUGGGGAGCAAACAGG
rnacentral:rRNA from 1 species